AUUCCAGCUCCAAUAGCGUAUAUUAAAGUUGUUGCAGUUAAAAAGCUCGUAGUUGAACCUUGGACAAAGUGCGCGUGGUCUACCGCAAGGUACGACUGCGGCGCUGCGUCUCUUUAGGGGGACUCGAUGCUUCGGUGUCGAGGUAACCCGUGUUACUGUGAAGAAAUUAGAGUGUUUAAAGCAGGCUAUCGCUUGAAUACAUCAGCAUGGAAUAACAAGUUGGACUUUGCUCCUACUUGUUGGUUUGAGGGGAAAAGUAAUGAUUAAUAGGGCCAAUUGGGGGCAUUAGUAUUCAGUAGUCAGAGGUGAAAUUCUUGGAUUUACUGAAGACUAACUAGUGCGAAAGCAUUUGCCAAGGAUGUUUUCAUCA
rnacentral:rRNA from 1 species